rnacentral:rRNA from 1 species
UUAUGAAGUUAGCGGCGGACGGGUGAGUAACACGUGGGUAACCUGCCCAUAAGACUGGGAUAACUCCGGGAAACCGGGGCUAAUACCGGAUAACAUUUUGAACCGCAUGGUUCGAAAUUGAAAGGCGGCUUCGGCUGUCACUUAUGGAUGGACCCGCGUCGCAUUAGCUAGUUGGUGAGGUAACGGCUCACCAAGGCAACGAUGCGUAGCCGACCUGAGAGGGUGAUCGGCCACACUGGGACUGAGACACGGCCCACACUCCUACGGGAGGCAGCAGUAGGGAAUCUUCCGCAAUGGACGAAAGUCUGACGGAGCAACGCCGCGUGAGUGAUGAAGGCUUUCGGGUCGUAAAACUCUGUUGUUAGGGAAGAACAAGUGCUAGUUGAAUAAGCUGGCACCUUGACGGUACCUAACCAGAAAGCCACGGCUAACUACGUGCCAGCAGCCGCGGUAAUACGUAGGUGGCAAGCGUUAUCCGGAAUUAUUGGGCGUAAAGCGCGCGCAGGUGGUUUCUUAAGUCUGAUGUGAAAGCCCACGGCUCAACCGUGGAGGGUCAUUGGAAACUGGUAGACUUGAGUGCAGAAGAGGAAAGUGGAAUUCCAUGUGUAGCGGUGAAAUGCGUAGAGAUAUGGAGGACCACCAGUGGCGAGGCGACUUUCUGGUCUGUAACUGACACUGAGGCGCGAAAGCGUGGGGAGCAAACAGGAUUAGAUACCCUGGUAGUCCACGCCGUAAACGAUGAGUGCUAAGUGUUAGAGGGUUUCCGCCCUUUAGUGCUGAAGUUAACGCAUUAACCAUUCCCCCUGGGGAGUACGGCCGCAAGGCUGAAACUCAAAGGAAUUGCCGGGGGCCCGCCCAAGCGGUGGAGCAUGUGGUUUAAUUGGAAGCAACGCGAAGACCCUUCCCAGGUCUUGACUUCUUCUGCCACCCCUAGAGAUAGGGCUUCUCCUUCGGGAGCAGAGUGCCAGGUGGUGCAUGGUUGUCGUCAGCUCGUGUCGUGAGAUGUUGGGUUAAGUCCCGCAACGAG